rnacentral:rRNA from 1 species
CACGGGUGAGUAACACGUAUCCAACCUGCCGUCUACUCUUGGGCAGCCUUCUGAAGGAAGAUUAAUACAAGAUGGCAUCAUGAGUCCGCAUGUUCACAUGAUUAAAGGUAUUCCGGUAGACGAUGGGGAUGCGUUCCAUUAGAUAGUAGGCGGGGUAACGGCCCACCUAGUCUUCGAUGGAUAGGGGUUCUGAGAGGAAGGUCCCCCACAUUGGAACUGAGACACGGUCCAA